rnacentral:rRNA from 1 species
GACGAACGCUGGCGGCGUGCUUAACACAUGCAAGUCGAACGGUAAGGCCCUUCGGGGUACACGAGUGGCGAACGGGUGAGUAACACGUGGGUGCUCUGCCCUGCACUUCGGGAUAAGCCUGGGAAACUGGGUCUAAUACCGGAUAGGAUCAUGGGCUUCAAGGUGUGGGGUGGAAAGCUUUUGCGGUGUGGGAUGGGCCCGCGGCCUAUCCGCUUGUUGGUGGGGUAAUGGCCUACCAAGGCGACGACGGGUAGCCGGCCUGAGAGGGGGACCGGCCACACUGGGACGGAGAUACGGCCCAGACUCCUACGGGAGGCAGCAGUGUGGAAUAUUGCACAAUGGGCGCAAGCCUGAUGCAGCGACGCCGCGUGAGGGAUGACGGCCUUCGGGUUGUAAACCUCUUUCAGUAGGGACGAAGCGCAAGUGACGGUACCUACAGAAGAAGGACCGGCCAACUACGUGCCAGCCGCCGCGGUAA